rnacentral:rRNA from 1 species
AUUGAACGCUGGCGGAAUGCUUUACACAUGCAAGUCGAGCGGCAGCGCGGGGGCAACCCUGGCGGCGAGCGGCGAACGGGUGAGUAAUACAUCGGAACGUACCCUGUCGUGGGGGAUAACUAACCGAAAGGUUGGCUAAUACCGCAUACGACCUGAGGGUGAAAGCGGGGGAUCGCAAGACCUCGCGCGAUAGGAGCGGCCGAUGUCGGAUUAGCUAGUUGGUGAGGUAAAGGCUCACCAAGGCGACGAUCCGUAGCGGGUCUGAGAGGACGGCCCGCCACACUGGGACUGAGACACGGCCCAGACUCCUACGGGAGGCAGCAGUGGGGAAUUUUGGACAAUGGGGGCAACCCUGAUCCAGCCAUUCCGCGUGAGUGAAGAAGGCCUUCGGGUUGUAAAGCUCUUUCGGCAGGAACGAAAAGGCGGGCUCUAACAUAGCCUGUUGAUGACGGUACCUGAAGAAGAAGCACCGGCUAACUACGUGCCAGCAGCCGCGGUAAUACGUAGGGUGCGAGCGUUAAUCGGAAUUACUGGGCGUAAAGCGUGCGCAGGCGGUUUUGUAAGACAGAUGUGAAAUCCCCGGGCUUAACCUGGGAACUGCGUUUGUGACUGCAAGACUCGAGUGUGGCAGAGGGGGGUGGAAUUCCACGUGUAGCAGUGAAAUGCGUAGAGAUGUGGAGGAACACCGAUGGCGAAGGCAGCCCCCUGGGUUAACACUGACGCUCAUGCACGAAAGCGUGGGUAGCGAACAGGAUUAGAUACCCUGGUAGUCCACGCCCUAAACGAUGCGAACUAGGUGUUGGAGAAGGAGACUUCUUUAGUACCGCAGCUAACGCGUGAAGUUCGCCGCCUGGGGAGUACGGUCGCAAGAUUA